rnacentral:sRNA from 1 species
GAUGCUUCUCGUAAAGCUCUUCCCAGGAUUCCGCCACGUGGCGAAUCCAU